rnacentral:misc_RNA from 1 species
GAUGGAAGAACGCAGCGAAAUGCGAUAAGUAAUGUGAAUUGCAGAAUUCAGUGAAUCAUCGAAUCUUUGAACGCACAUUGCGCCCGCCAGUAUUCUGGCGGGCAUGCCUGUUCGAGCGUCAUUACAACCCUCAGGCCCCCGGGCCUGGCGUUGGGGAUCGGCGGAGCCCCCCGUGGGCACACGCCGUCCCCCAAAUGCAGUGGCGGUCCCGCCGCAGCUUCCAUCGCGUAGUAGCUAACACCUCGCGACUGGAGAGCGGCGCGGCCACGCCGUAAAACACCCAACUCUUCUGAAGUUGACCUCGAAUCAGGUAGGAAUACCCGCUGAACUUAAGCAUAUCAAUAAGCGGAGGA